UACGAAGGGGGCUAGCGUUGUUCGGAUUUACUGGGCGUAAAGCGCACGUAGGCGGAUCGUUAAGUCGGGGGUGAAAUCCUGGAGCUCAACUCCAGAACUGCCUUCGAUACUGGCAAUCUUGAGUCCGGAAGAGGUGAGUGGAACUCCUAGUGUAGAGGUGGAAUUCGUAGAUAUUAGGAAGAACACCAGUGGCGAAGGCGGCUCACUGGUCCGGUACUGACGCUGAGGUGCGAAAGCGUGGGGAGCAAACAGG
rnacentral:rRNA from 1 species